rnacentral:rRNA from 1 species
AUUGAACGCUGGCGGCAUGCCUUACACAUGCAAGUCGAACGGUAACAGGUCUUCGGAUGCUGACGAGUGGCGAACGGGUGAGUAAUACAUCGGAACGUGCCUAGUAGUGGGGGAUAACUACUCGAAAGAGAGGCUAAUACCGCAUGAGAUCUACGGAUGAAAGCAGGGGAUCGCAAGACCUUGUGCUACUAGAGCGGCCGAUGGCAGAUUAGGUAGUUGGUGGGAUAAAAGCUUACCAAGCCGACGAUUUGUAGCUGGUCUGAGAGGACGAUCAGCCACACUGGGACUGAGACGCGGCCCAGACUCCUACGGGAGGCAGCAGUGGGGAAUUUUGGACAAUGGGCGAAAGCCUGAUCCAGCAAUGCCGCGUGCAGGAUGAAGGCCUUCGGGUUGUAAACUGCUUUUGUACGGAACGAAAAGCCCCGGGUUAAUACCCUGGGGUCAUGACGGUACCGUAAGAAUAAGCACCGGCUAACUACGUGCCAGCCGCCGCCGUAA